CAGCAGCUGACGGUCGGCCACUCCGAGCGAGAGGAGGCCGUCGCUGCACAUCACGAGAGGAGGUAGGAGGACGACAACGGUGGCAGUCUGCUCCCCUGUCCCCAGCCCAUCUUCUUCAUGCACCACAACUUGAGCUCCACACACCCGCCGGCAAGAAGGAGGAGCACGGGCUGCACAUCCUUACCGCAUUGUCCUCCUUCCCUUCUUGUUACAGGUCACCCAAUUGGUGUCAUCCCUCUCCUCCCGUCUCUUAAGUGCUGAGAAUCAUGUCACAAGUGACGGCCAUCCAGUGACAGCCUCGCUGUUAGCUCAUUAUCGUGGAUGUGGAUUAAAUUGAUGCUCUUCUUGCCGAUAGUAUGCAACUGAAUAUGUACAUGAUGUAAUCACGGUCAAUUGCAGGUCAGUGUUUCUUAUGGCGAGUACUUGGUCCAUGUUGAGGUAAGAAAUUUGUCUCAUGUCUCUUCCUAUAUGCAUCAAGCAAAUUUCUUGCAGCUGCAUACAUCUCAAGUUUUCCCUUUCUCAUGAUAGUGUAGUUUUUCUCGGUAAGACUAGCAGUUAGCAUUGCUCAUCAAUUCGUAGUGGCUUAGGCUGGACAUUUAUUUCACUCAAGUACAUUUCAGGUGAGACCGUGAGGGCAUGCGGUGAUAUAUUUUGGGCAUGCAUGUUGUUCUGGUAUUUCAGCUUAUAUGCUUGCAUUAUGAGCACUGGUUUGUUGCUUAAUUCUUGUACAUCAAAUUCUAUGCCUCUUAGUAUUACUGUAAUCUUCCCACGAAUCUUUACUACUUCUAUCCAGUACUGAUGUACAGUUCAGUUUAGUAGAUCUAUUGUGCUCACAAUGCUUCGUUAUUUAAUGUUGAGUGCUAUAAAAAAUUCUAUAAUGCUGCAAUUACCUAUGAAAAAGUUAUUAUAAUGUUCCAUGUAUCUAUCUUCAGGUAAUUGACAUGAGUUUGAGAGAUUCAGCAUAGUUGGAUUAAGCUGUGUUUUAGUUCUUUAACAUCUGAUCGAAGAACUAUCUGAACAGAGAAUUAGUGAAGUACGGAUGUAAUUGUGUUCUAAGUUGUUGUGCACUACUUCCUCAAAGUUAGAGAGCUUGCCAUUAAUGUGCAUUACCCUGUAUAAUUCUUUUUGUUCUAUUUGCCCAUGAACAUGAGAUAUUUGAGUUAAGUUCAAAGAAGACAUACUUUCUCAUAAAUCUCUUAUGGGAUCCUUCUAUUUUCCAAAAUGUAUGUAUAUUUCAAAUGUUACCGUUGGAGGUGCUCAUAUCGUAAGCCUGUUCUCAUAAAUUAUUUUACUUUAUAUAUUUAGUUUGAGCAGAGAUGAAAACUAUAGAUUCAGAUUUGCUCAAGUAAGUUAACCAAUUGUGUGUCACUUUGCUCAAUAUUUUUGAACUGGUCUCUGUUUUGCAUCCUAUGCUUUUGUAAUGUUAUCCUAGCUUCAGUCUGAAAACAGAUUGCACACUUCUAUUCUAAUGUGGGUUGCUGCUCGUUUUUCCUUCGCUAGGUGUGGAAUGCUAUUGUCACUCAUCCGAAGCUGCUUGUGUAUCUCAUCCUACAGGAACACCUGGCUGUUCUGAGACAUUGGUCCCAGAAGUGCAAGUUCUUGUAGGUUCAAUGGGGGCAUCUGGUUGAUCUUCUUACAGCUCUGGACAUGAGCCUCAUGUCCGGUUAUCUUAGGAGUAUAAACCUCAAAUCCAAUAGGGAUAGAUCAGCUAAAGGCAGAGCCCAUCAUCACGUGGGAUUUGUUUGUGACUGAAACUAAUGGUUUAUUAAACUACGCCAGUCAACCAUUUCGUAGGUAUACUAAAAUUGGAGUCUGCGGCUCAGUUUAGUGAUGGCCUUGCUGGAGCUUUGUUGAUGGUCUUUCUGGAUAUCUGAAUUACUGUUGAGUGAUGAGCGAUAAGUUUUUGUCCUUGCUGCAAAAGAAAAAAAAAGCAUCUUUUAACCUCACCUGAUAAAAAUUGGAGGCUGCAAGUUAUUUAAAAGUGUGCCAUGGUUAUUUGAGAAGAUUUGGUACUAAAAAGGAAUCUGGCGUGGUUCUACUACCACUUUCUAGAUUGAGGUUUUAUUUUCUUUUUGUUGCAAUUAGGAACUUUUGAGUCUUUUCACCAUAACAUGAGAUUUAUGCCGCUUUGAAUCAAUGAACCAUGCUCACAGUAGGUGAAAUUGUGUGAUUUUCCUUUCUGAUGGUUUAUUCUAUGUAAUCUAGCUUUUGGUUUAUAGAAAUGAUAAAGUAAGAAAGAUGGAAGAACAGUAGUACAUAGACCAAAUUAUAAUUAAGACAUAUACUUUUGCUGUGUGUGGCUAGGCAUUGAAGAAAACAUCCUACAGGUUAUUAUGGUGUACCAGUGAACAUUGUUUAAGUUUUCCUUGAACAAAAACACUGCCCACCAGUCCACCACCAUGAAAAACCUGGGUCUAAAAUGAAAAUUAGUAAUACUAAAGCUGGAUUUUAAAAGACAAGUUUGUAUCUUUUCUCGAAUACUCUGCAGUUUUAGGAACAGAUCCUGGGACAAGUAAAUGAGUGUUCUGUUUUUGUUGUUGUGGUAGUAGCCUUAUCAUCUUUUAACAGGAUUCAGCAAGCAUGUCCAUGCUAAAUUGGAAGGCAGGAGUACUAUCUCAUCAGGCUCCUCAGAUCCUCCCAAGAAUAUAGAGUACACACAUCCAAUCUUAGGACAAGACAGCUUUGUCAUGACAACAAUUGGGUUGCUCUUCCAAAGAUUUCUACAAGAUGUGCUGGCGGUUCACUUAGGAGUUGGACAAAAGGUGCAAACUCAGGGGGCAGUCAUCUUGUACUGAAGGACGGGGCUGUGUUGGAGGUCAAUUUGUCUCGAGGCAUGAAGCGGAAAUCAUUUGUUGCAUCAACUUUUCCUAUGCAGCGGAGUGAACUUACUAAGAAAUUUCAGACUUCUCACGGUGAUGGAAGACACCAAUAUCCUGGUCCUAGAGAUUCUCUUCAUUUGAUGGAUAAGUGGUUAACAAUAAUGUUGAUUAUCGGAUCCUGUUGUGACAACUCAAGAUCAUGAUAUUAAUAGUGUCGCAGCCUAUGUUGGUAGUUGCAGUCCUGACGGUGAGGAUAUUUGUAGUAGGAAUGAUGAUGAUGAAGCUUCUAUAUGUGGAAGAGAAUCACCACUUCCUAUGGAAGGUGGUCUGAAGGAAGAAACCGAUCUGCUUGAUUUGAAUGGUUAUCGUAACAAUGAUGGAACUAUAUGCUUAUGGAUCAAUUAGCUGGGAGUAAGAGGCUUUGAUGACUAAUCUGAGUCUUACACUGAACAUCUCAACUGAUGACAUUUAUCAGAGUUAAGAAAUCCGGCUUUCUCUGCAGUUUGUUCUAAUGAAUGCCUCGUGCAACAAGCGACUGACAAAUAUAGUCAAAUAAGAGAGAUUAGUGGGUGUUCUGAUACUAUCAUACACAAUAUAUGCAAGCCUGACGAACGGCUUCAGGAGAUCAUUCGAGCUGGCCUAUCUGGGAGAGACCGGUAACGAAUGCAAUCUUGACUCAGCAAUUCAAGCAUGGAGAUCUAGACAGUAGGUACAUCUUCCUACAACUCAAACUCCUACUCCACUGAACAUGAUAAGUUCUCCGGUUGCUAUAUUCAUGAAUCAUGCCCUGACGGAAGGACUGCACUUGGUCAUGAGCUGAUAGAUGGAACGAACAAAUUAAUUCCAGUCCAUGGUCUUGGUUUCAGACACAACAGACUGCUAUGGUUUUAUAUAGAUGUGCUCCAGGAUGCCAAAAAGGUUAGGGAUUCAUUUGUGCAGAGAACUCUGUUCCAGGAGUUGCCUGCUGUGAACCUGAAUGGAACCUCUUUGUGUAUUUAUCAACCAUCUAUAAGUAUAUCUUUCAGUAUAUUUCCCUAUUUUCUCUGCUGCCUGUAUGUAUCGCAUUUCUCUGCUAUACAGUUUGGUGCUCUACUCAUGAUAUCGAAUUUGAAACUGAAGUAUUUGCUAUCGAAUUUGUCACUAUAA